AGCGAACGCUGGCGGCAGGCCUAACACAUGCAAGUCGAACGAACCUUUCGGGGUGAGUGGCGGACGGGAGAGUAACACGUGGGAACGUGCUUACAGGUACGGAAUAACUCAGGGAAACGUGUGCUAAUACCGAAUGUGACUUCUGGGGGAAAGUUUAAUCUCCUUUAGAGCUGCCGGCGUCUGAUUAGCUAGUUGGUUGAGGUAAGGGCUCACCAAGGGGGAGAUCAGUAGCUGGUCUGGAAGGAUGAUCAGUCACAUUGGGACUGGGAGAAGGCCCGAACUCCUACGGAAGGAAGCAGUGGGGAAUCUUGAGCAAUGGGCGAAAGCCUGACGCAGCCAUGCCGCGUAAAUGAUGAAGGUCUUAGGAUUGUAAAAUUCUUUCACCGGGGACGAUAAUGACGGUACCCGAAGAAGAAGCCCCGGCUAACUUCGUG
rnacentral:rRNA from 1 species